rnacentral:rRNA from 1 species
GAUGAACGCUGGCGGCGUGCCUAAUACAUGCAAGUCGAGCGAACAGACGAGGAGCUUGCUCCUCUUACGUUAGCGGCGGACGGGUGAGUAACACGUGGAUAACCUACCUAUAAGACUGAGAUAACUUCGGGAAACCGGAGAUAAUACCGGAUAAUAUAUUGAACCGCAUGGUUCAAUAGUGAAAGACGGUUUUGCUGUCCCUUAUAGAUGGAUCCUCGCCGCAUUAGCUAGUUGGUAAGGUAACGGCUUACCAAGGCAACGAUGCGUAGCCGACCUGAGAGGGUGAUCGGCCACACUGGAACUGAGACACGGUCCAGACUCCUACGGGAGGCAGCAGUAGGGAAUCUUCCGCAAUGGGCGAAAGCCUGACGGAGCAACGCCGCGUGAGUGAUGAAGGUCUUCGGAUCGUAAAACUCUGUUAUUAGGGAAGAACAAAUGUGUGAGUAACUAUGCCCGUCUUGACGGUACCUACUCAGAAAGCCACGGCUAACUACGUG